CCUACGGGGGGCAGCAGUGGGGAAUAUUGCACAAUGGGGGAAACCCUGAUGCAGCGACGCCGCGUGAGUGAAGAAGUAUUUCGGUAUGUAAAGCUCUAUCAGCAGGGAAGAAAUAGCGACCUUUGGGUCGCCAGACGGUACCUGACUAAGAAGCCCCGGCUAACUACUUGCCAGCAGCCGCGGUAUUCCGUAGGGGGCAAGCGUUAUCCGGAUUUACUGGGUGUAAAGGGAGCGUAGACGGCAGCACAAGUCUGAAGUGAAAUGCCGGGGCUUAACCCCGGACCUGCUUUGGAAACUGUGCAGCUAGAGUGCAGGAGAGGUAAGUGGAAUUCCUAGUGUAGCGGUGAAAUGCGUAGAUAUUAGGAGGAACACCAGUGGCGAAGGCGGCUUACUGGACUGUAACUGACGUUGAGGCUCGAAAGCGUGGGGAGCAAACAGGAUUAGAUACCCCAGUAGUC
rnacentral:rRNA from 1 species